CAAGAAAUGCAGGUGGGAGAAAGUGAUUUUAGAAAUGGCCCCCGUGUCCCUCAAGCUCCAAUAGCUGGAGGUCCUUCUAUCCCAAAAGUCAUCUUUUUCCAGAAAAACCCAAAAGGAAACAAAAAACAAAACAAACAACAAACCCACAACUAUACCGUUCGAGCGAUUUAGGGUCGCCUCGAAGGGUCUGUGUUCUUCUUAAAAACACCUCUAUAAUCUGACACCAGCUGCUGUCCUUCGCAACCAUCCUAAUGAGAGGAGCUGGGAGGCAGCUGAGGUGCCAGUCAGACUGGGGCGGUCACUGCAGGGAAAAUCAAUUCACAUGGUGUCACUCUGCGCUCUGGGAGAAAUCCUAGCCGGCCCACAAGCAGUCAGAGAGCGCCAGGCCUGACCAGUGCUGCCGAGGAUGGUAAUCUAAAGUGUGCUUAAAAAAAAAAAAGAAAGAAAAACAACACACACAGCCGGAUGAAUCAGUGGUCAGGAAGUGUCUGCAGACAAAUGUCCUUUGCAGCUUUGAUGAGUCAUUCCCUUUUUUGUCCGUUUUUCUUUUUUUUUUUUCUUCUUCUUCUUCUUUUUUUUUUUUUUUGGAUCAAAUUGCAGUACAGAAAGACAUGCAUUUCAUUUUAUUAUUUUCUGUCCUGGGUUUUACUUUUUGGUAAACGUCUGGAUGAAGGAGAGAAGGUUUGCCAUUAAAAACAAAUUGUAGAAAACGUUCUAGAAACUGUCAUUAGGAAGUCGGAGCAGCUCUUCUCUCUGUAGAAAGUUCUGGUGACGGCAAUUUCUUUGCUAAUGGGAAGCCUGCUUUAGAUUGUGUUUUGAAACAUUAUUUCUUUUUACUAGAAUGAAGUCUAUCCUGGCCCUUGUUACCAGAUUUCUCCUUUCAUGUGUUACUUUUUAAGUGUUGUGGGCAUGAAGCAAGAUUUUUUUUUCUCCCUCCAGUGAUUUCUUCGACAAUAACUUGUAUUAAAACAUGAAUCUAACCCCCCCCCCACCCACCCAGAUGUCUGUCACUAAUGAAGAAAACAGUUUGAGUUAGAAUGUUCAUUUCUUUGAAACAAAUGUGUUCUGUACUUCUGUAGAUGAUAGUGAUUUGAACACUCAGAUUUUAUUAAGCUCUGCACCGCACUGGUGGAGAUUUUGAGGGUUGACAAGGAAACACAGCUCACAAAACAACAAAAACAAAAACAAGGAUGUAAGAAAAGUCCCAGAAGGGUUCUUCUGGAACCUGCUAGAACGUUAUAAAAGUCCCCGCCUUCUAACAUACUUCCUUUGAGUGACAUGAAAUUGGUACCGUUGCUUGUGAUGGCGGAGACGUAGUGAGGUAUUAACUUUGAAAACGAAAUCAUUUAGACUUGGAGAGAGAGAGAGAGAAAAAAAAAAGUCAAUAAUUCCUUUUAGUCUGGGAGCACACUGUAAAACCCCAGGGCCUUAAAAACUUCAACUCUGCCUAUAGCAGUUUACAAAAAUACUAAGCUGCAAUCAAUGUAAAUAAAAUUCUUAGCACUAUCCUGAGACUGAAUUUCAGGCUAAUAAGGAAUUCGGUUUGCAUAUGCUGUCAAAAGGGUGUCAUCCGACCUGGGUUUCACUGGGAAUGAGGCCACUGGGCAGCGUGGACCCAUCUGGCAUAAAGCAAGCUGCUUUCUUGCUGGUUUUCUUUUCUUUUCUUUUUUUCAUUUGUUUUCUUUCUUCCUUUUUUUUCUCUCUCGCCCCACCCCCUUCUCUAGAAUAGUUCUCACUGCCUUACUUAACUCAAGUUGGUCAACUGUGGCUGUCUCUGUGGUCCACAGGAGGCCUGGAGACGCUGGUGGAAAAAAAAAAGUCUGACCGUAGUAAGCAUUUAGGGUUUUAACUGCACUGCUGUGUUUGGUGACUGUGCCAGUGGCUUGCUUUCUGUGUGUUUGCCCCACCUGUGGUAUCUUAGCAAAGAAAACUUAAAACAAUAAAAUAAAAUAAAAUUAAAAAAAUAAAUAAAAAGG
rnacentral:lncRNA from 1 species